GGGCGGUGCCUUAGUGCCGCGCACGCGCCGGGGUGUCCCACGGGUAAGGGACAGUGUCCGCGAACGGCGCUCCCGGGACGCGGAAGCUCCGCGUCUGUCCUGUCCCGGGUGCGGCUCUGAGCCGCUCGUCGCGUGUUGUGAAUCCUAUGGCAUGGCGUUCAUCACCCUGAGGAGGGCCUUUUGUCACACGUCUGGUUUUUGGAUACCCGGAGCUGUGGAAAUUCACCCUGCCAAUCACGUCGUCCGAAAGGCAGUCAAAGAUCGCCUCCGUGUUUGGUUCUGUUCCCUACAACCUGAGCUGUCCAGGGUCAGAUUCCAUCACGCGUACUGUAAAAACUUCCACUCAGAAAACGGAAAUGACCUUCAUCCAGUUGGCGAGCCAUGGGUCUCUCAAGCACAGGAAUGGAGCCAGCCGGAACAGAGUCUUAGAAACGAGGAUGAAGAGAUGGUUUUCAGGAGACUGAGCAGCUCUGCCUCCUUUGAGGAAGUGCUGAGUUUCGUAAGUACCCUGGACCCCCUGCCUGUCGCUCUGGCGGCAGCAGCUCUGCUCAGGAUCUGUGAGAUAGGGACCAGGGAUGGUAAGCAAAGGCUGCCAACAGGAGUUCUUGAGAACCCCGUCUUCCAGGCUUUGUGCCUUAGGUGUGAGCGGGACCCCUCACAUCUGACCAGUGCUGGUUUGGUGACGGCUUUGCAGUCUCUGCUUUUGUUGCCGCCUGUAGAUCCUCAGAGUCGCUUGAUGCUGAGUCUCAUGGCAGAAUGCCAACGUCGCCUCCGAAGAGGCGGCCUGGAAGUCCACCAUCUUUGUGUUCUUGGGGAAAGUCUGGCUCGGCUUCAGGGUGCAAGUUGUGAGACCCUGAAGCUGGUUCUCUCCCAUCUGCAGAGUGAAAAUUUGGAAACGUUUGCUCCAGAGGACAUUGUGUCCAUUUAUAGAAUUCUGCAGGCGUGUCCUGAAGAAGUAGACAAACACCAGACGUUUUUAAACACAGUAAACAACUUUUCCCCUUCAAUAGUUCCCUACCUGAGCCCUAAAUCCAUUAGUGAUGUUCUAAGUGCCUUAGUGGCCCUGGACCAGACUCACGCACGACCACUGCUGAUAAAACUGGGCAAGUACGUUGUGAGAUACAUUCCCCGGUUUACUAACGAAGAGCUCAGGAAGGUCUUGGAGGCGUUUGUUUACUUUGGACACAGUGACAAAUUUUUCACAGAGGCCUUAGAGCAGCACGUGGCCGCCCUGUGCCUCGCCCUGGACCCUGCCAUUGCCGUCUCCGUGAUGGAGUACUGCAGCCGAAAGCGGAUCCUUUCCAAGCCCAUCUUCAACGUAGUUGCGGAGAUCUUUGUUUGCCAGUCGGAAAAGUUCUCACCUACUCAGAUCUCUGAACUGAUCGAGCCAUUUGGAAAACUCAAUUAUUUGCCACCCAACGCCCCUGCCCUGUUUAGGAAGGUAGAGAGCGUGCUCUUGGCUCGCUUACGGCACUUCCCACCAAAGACGCUGUUGAGGCUCCUCCACUCCUGUGCGCUGAUUGAACGCCAUCCCGUCAACUUCAUGCCGAAAAUAUUCAGCCCCCUUUUCCUUCAACGGCUGCAAGGUAAAGAGUCAUAUUUGGACAGAUUGAGCCUGGCACAGCUGACCCAACUUUUCCUGACCUCCGUCCUAGAGUGUCCUUUCUAUAAGGGCCCCAGACUUCUCCCUAAAUAUCAAGUGAAGUCAUUCUUCACGCCAUGCUGCUCCCUAGAGACACCCAUGGAUCUCCAUCUCUAUAGGUCUGUGGUGAUCGGACUGAUUGAUCUUCUAGGAUCAAGACUGUAUUUUGCUUCAAAAGUGUUGACGCCCUAUUAUUAUACCAUAGCCUCGGCCCACUGAUAGAGGCAGUGUGGAAGACAUGAACCAGCACAAGGAACACAGGAAGAUAGUGUUGUUGAGGGUAUCACAUGAGGAAUUUUUCCUUUCUCUUGCCAGAUGUUGAGAUUAAAUUAGAUGAAGAUGGAUUUGUGUUGCCGUUUACAGUGGAUGAGGAUAUCCAUAAAAGGGUGGCACUGUGCGUUGAUGGGCCACAGCGAUUUUGCUUGGACAGUAAGCACUUACUUGGAAAAGAGGCCAUUAAACAAAGACACCUGCGGCUACUGGGUUACCAGGUUGUACAGGUUCCCUAUCAUGAGCUAGAGCUGCUUAAGUCAAGACUUGAAUUGGUGGAAUAUUUACAAAGGAAGUUAUUUUCUCAGAGCUCCACUGUCCACUGGUAACACAGGAUGCUGGCUUCAGGAUUCACAGUGAAAUUACAAAGAUCAUAUUUGUAAGAGAGACAGUUUAAUCUGUGAAUUAGUGACUAUAUGGAAAUUAUGUUUACAGACUUGGGAUCUGAAAAGGGUCUGCGGUUUUUCUUAUACUAUGUAUAUGUAUAUUGGUGGUAAAUUUGAAAUUAAUUUAAUACUAGUAUCUUAGAUGCCUUCACUGCAUCUAGCAGGAUCAUUCAAAUGCAAUAAAGCAGUGUAACAAGUAAAUGUUAAUUGUCUUGUUUUUAAGAAUUAUCUGCUAAUAAAAUAUGCUUUUUAGA